rnacentral:rRNA from 1 species
ACGUAGGCAGCAAGCGUUGUUCGGAAUUACUGGGCGUAAAGAGUGUGUAGGCGGUGCUCUAAGUUUGGUGUGAAAUCUCCCGGCUCAACCGGGAGGCUGCAUCGAAUACUGGAAUGCUAGAGGGUGGGAGAGGUAAGCGGAAUUCCUGGUGUAGCGGUGAAAUGCGUAGAUAUCAGGAGGAACACCUGUGGUGUAGACAGCUUACUGGACCACUUCUGACGCUGAGACACGAAAGCGUGGGUAGCAAACAGG